rnacentral:rRNA from 1 species
AGGGUUUGAUUAUGGCUCAGGAUGAACGCUGGCGGCGUGCUUAACACAUGCAAGUCGAACGGGAAACCUUUUAUUGAAGCUUCGGCAGAUUUAGCUGGUUUCUAGUGGCGGACGGGUGAGUAACGCGUGGGUAACCUGCCUUAUACAGGGGGAUAACAACCAGAAAUGGUUGCUAAUACCGCAUAAGCGCACAGGACCGCAUGGUCCGGUGUGAAAAACUCCGGUGGUAUAAGAUGGACCCGCGUUGGAUUAGCUAGUUGGCAGGGUAACGGCCUACCAAGGCGACGAUCCAUAGCCGGCCUGAGAGGGUGAACGGCCACAUUGGGACUGAGACACGGCCCAG